rnacentral:lncRNA from 1 species
CAAAAGCGAGUGGAAAUAAAAGAACAUGGUCCCGCCGGCAAAAAAAAAUAAAGAAAAGCUAUAUAACUUGGAGCAGUUCAGAACGCAGAAUCCUUCUGGAAAAGCGCAUUGACAAGGAUGUUUGGUUCAAAAAAUCGGGAAUGAGCUGAAGGAUCGCCUGGACGGUAAAAGUGCUGAAGCAUGUAAAGCACAAUGGAAUGCGUUGAUGAACCAUCCGUGGCGCUUUUUGGGAAUGUGAGUUACAAUUUUUCGAAACGAAGCAGAGGACAACCUAAGAUGCAUUUUUGUAGUCUUGUUAUCGCCGUUCAUAAUGCUGCUUAGUAUUUUGGAAUAAACGUCUUGUUGCAUGUACAUAAACGACAUAUGUUUUUAUUGGAAACAAUUGUACACGGUUUUAAACAUUUUUGUGAACACACUUACCAGACGGUUUUGACGUGUUUUUAUUUCUAAUAUUACUGCUAAAAGGUCUAAUAAAUGCAUGGAUUUCAGUUCCAGAAGAAUUGAAAUCAUCAAAGGCAAAUAUUUUCUAUAUAA